UACGGAGGGGGGUAGCGUUGUUCGGAAUUACGGGGCGUAAAGCGCACGUAGGCGGCUUUGUAAGUUAGAGGUGAAAGCCCGGGGCUCAACCCCGGAAUUGCCUUUAAGACUGCAUCGCUAGAAUUGUGGAGAGGUAAGUGGAAUUCCGAGUGUAGAGGUGAAAUUCGUAGAUAUUCGGAAGAACACCAGUGGCGAAGGCGACUUACUGGACACAUAUUGACGCUGAGGUGCGAAAGCGUGGGGAGCAAACAGG
rnacentral:rRNA from 1 species